rnacentral:rRNA from 1 species
UACGUAGGGUGCGAGCGUUGUCCGAAAUUAUUGGGCGUAAAGAGCUCGUAGGCGGUUUGUCGCGUCGACUGUGAAAACCUACAGCUUAACUGUGGGCUUGCAGUCGAUACGGGCAGACUUGAGUUCGGUAGGGGAGACUGGAAUUCCUGGUGUAGCGGUGAAAUGCGCAGAUAUCAGGAGGAACACCGGUGGCGAAGGCGGGUCUCUGGGCCGAUACUGACGCUGAGGAGCGAAAGCGUGGGGAGCGAACAGG